rnacentral:snRNA from 1 species
AGCUUUGCACAGAUGAGGUUUAUCCAAGGCACGAUUAUUGCUAAUUGAAAACUUCCCAAUACCCCGACAUGACGACUUGAAAUAUAGUCAGUAUUGGCAAUUUUUGACAGUCUCUACAGGGG